AGAAUCUUAGCUCUGGUCAUGUCACACAUGAGGACAAGGUGCUGCCUGCUGAUCUAGCUCACUUGCUAAGAGUGAUGUGAAAAUUCUGCUGAUGUGCAGUCAUUUUUUUUGCAAUGUGAAUAUGCAUAAGCAAGUGAAGACAUAAAGGUUAAUUAGAAGAGAGAUUCAUUGGUGGCAGGAUAUUCACAUGUGUGAACUCAAAUUGCCAGCCCUCCAGGAGUGGCUUGGAGUCUCCAGGGAUCUGCAUCAAGCUCCAGGAAAUUAUUGAAAGCAAUCCUGAAGAUGUUAAUGGCUUGAUAUUGUUAAAAGUUUGGCAAUUGGCAUUGAGCUGGAGGGGAAUGAACCCACACAGAAAUUCAACAGGUGCCAGCAGCUCUUCCUAUCACUUCUCCAGUGAACAUUCUCCCCGCUUUGGCUGAUGGCAGUGCAAGGCCUUUCUAGGCCAUCAGCCUGAAUGGAGAAGACAGGAAGAAUCACCAGGUUGCUACUCUUCCUGGCUUUGAGCCCUGUGUUUCACUGCAUUUCCUCCCCCACUGCCCUGCCCUGGCCAUGAGGAUCGAGAUUGAGAAUGUUAAUGAGUUGCCUCUGCACAUGCUGACACAUUCCUUCUCUCCCAAACAGCAAAAAUGUAGGGCAGUAUUUGGGUGAACUUGAAAAUGUUUACAAUCCUUGCUCUCUUAUUUGGUUUAGUUCUAUGUUGUCUUUGCUGAUGGCUGCAGCCCUUGUACCUCAGUGUUGCCCUCUGUUCUUCCACUUUCAGUUAG